rnacentral:rRNA from 1 species
CUUGAACAAAUAUAAGAGGUCCAGCCUGCCCAGUGACUCUGUUCAACGGCCGCGGUAUCCUAACCGUGCGAAGGUAGCGUAAUCACUUGUUCUUUAAAUAAGGACUAGUAUGAAUGGCACCACGAAGGUUAUGCUGUCUCCUUUUUCUAAUCAGUGAAACUAAUCCCCCCGUGAAGAAGCGGGGAUAAAUGUAUAAGACGAGAAGACCCUAUGGAGCUUUAAACUAAAUAACACCUGCUUCAAUAAUUUUUAUUUCAGAAUACUAACAUCUAUUUUAGCUUCAUGAUUUUUAGUUUUAGGUUGGGGUGACCACGGAGCAAAAUAAAACCUCCAUAUUGAAUGGGACUAUAAAUCCUGAGCAAAGAGCAACAACUCUAUGCACCAAUAAAUUGACAUCAAUUGACCCAAUAUUUUGAUCAAUGAACCAAGUUACCCUAGGGAUAACAGCGCAAUCCGCCUCAAGAGCCCCUAUCGACAGGCGGGUUUACGACCUCGAUGUUGGAUCAGGGUACCCCGGUGGUGCAGCCGCUACCAAAGGUUCGUUUGUUCAACGAUUAAAACCCU